CCUUUCCUGUCUUAUUAGUCAAGCUUAAUGCUUGAAUUUUUCUCCUUAAUUUCGAUUGCUUUUUCUCAUGACAAAAAUGGACGAUUAUGGCUUGGAAAAUAGGAAACUGGACCAACUAAGAACUAGAGCAAAGUUGAAGACAAGUCGAAAUAUUUUAAGAGUUAUUUCCCGUAAUUCCAUGAGAUUUCCUCACAGUUGGUUACUCUGCCCUCAUCCUGUGGUGCAAUGUCACACGCCUCAAGUUCGUGAUCGAUGCAGCACAACACAGAGAUGAUAAAAAUGGAGAAAAGGAUAAACCAAAUGAAACUUUCAGGAAGAAAACAAAACUCUCUUUUCUUGUCAAGAUUUGUAGAUGCCUUGCCUGAGAUAACUCUUUAAGCAUCGUUUGGGUGUCAUAUUAAGAAGAUGUUUGAAGUUUGUUAAGCAAUUGACUGAUGGAUCAGAAGGCAUCACUUCAUUCUUGAUUGGACUAGUUUGUUAACUACCUAAUAAUGUAUCUGUUUGAAUUAUUUAUGAAGUAUUCCUUUGCUAGAAUUGGGGCUGGUGAUGCACAAGAAUAAUCUCAGAGCUGAUUGCAGCGUGAGAGGACAAGCAAUGCUUUUAACACAAAGUAAGAUAAGGAACAAUUUCUCAUUCAAAGAUAAUAAAAUACAAUGGAAGGAAGAAUUCAGACUGAUCUUUAAUUUGACCUACAUUACACAGUUAUCACAUCAGAGAAGAAUCACAGACAAUCCCAAAGUCUCUGGAAGGCCUCAUCUUAAGUAAAUGCUAUCUCAGGUUUUGCACUCUGAUAUCCCUUACUUUUAUUUUUCCCUCAUGUACAAACUCACAUCAGGACUACUUUGCUAUGCAAUUAACAUGGUAACUACCUUACCUAGCUGGCAUUGCCCCUUUCCAUUUUGGGGUUUGAAAGCAUUUGCCACUUACACUCAGAUCAUGUUUUUGUGAGAGGCCACAGAGCGACUUUCUUUAAAGCUAUCAAAGCCUUCCUCAUUAUCCUUUAUGGGCUGUGCAGAAAACAUCUCAACUAUUAGACAUUUAACUGGAGUGCAGUAGAAUGGGUUUGCUGGCCCCCUCCAGUUGCUUGGGUAAAAGCUCUGUUCAUAAUCAGUUUCUGGUUUUUUAAAAUGACCCUCAAGAGGUUCCUUCCGGUCCACUUCAGUUCCCUUUUUAGUGUCCCAUUGAUUUUCCAGACUUUAGGAAUGCGUCCUUAACUGCCUGCUUUCCCAUUGGCUGUCUCCACUGAAUGAGAAGGGAACACUUUGUUACUUCAUACAUGGAGACAGGAAUAUCUUGAGGACUAACACACCAUUUGUAACAGCACAGUUUACAACAGCACUUCCUAGAAAAAUUAGGUGGCUCUCUCAGAAAGGAAAGGACGAUUUCUGCACCCAAUUUACUUCCCUAACUACAAGCAACACCCUUGUUUCUUGUCAAUAAAAAGGAAGAUGAAAUAGAGUAGCAAUCACAAUACAUAAAUAAUAUUAUUUGUCUCCAGAGUGUAUAUGGAAGAGUAAUUCACUCAAAGAGCAUGCAUGAAUUAUGAAUGUCAGGAAGGCAGGGAGGGAACUUCAGGACAGACCUAUCACUGCUGCUGUUCCACGAAUAAAGUCCGAGAAGCCACAUAACUAUGUGAUGGAAUUGCAAAAGUAUAUAAUUUUAAUUUGACUCUUUCCUAGCUCUCAAUCUCAUUUCAAAGGAGAAUAGGGUGCUAAGAACCUAUAAAUCUAAAAAUAGGUAAUCAAUAUGAAAUCUGAAAAAGCCUCCUAGGAAUGGUGAGAUUUUCAAAGAGAUGUCCCCUAACCAUACCUAUCUCCAAAACGAUAUGAAACAAACCCCAAAGCAAAACAAAAUAUCAAUAGAAAACCUUGAAUCCUAAACUUUACACAGAAGUGGGAGGCAGUAGCAUAAGUUAGUAGAAAACUUGGGCAUUUAUGUGGCAUUUGGUAGUGCAGCACUAUGGUCUCUGUCCUAAUCUGAAACUCAGGGGCAAAAUGAUUACUAUUAUUGCUACAAAGAAAAAGAGUACUCAUGUUGUAAUAUAAAGUGUUAUGGGUUCUUUUUAAAGUUCAGUGAUUAAAAAAAAAACGGUAAUCAUUUUCCAAAGAAAAUUCUUAAACAAUCAGAUCAUAAGUCCCACAAAUAAAAAUAUGCUGGAGACCUUCAGUCUUGUCACAGAGUACAGUAUUCAUAUGUUUCCUAUUUACUUAUCUUUUCCUUCUGUAUCUUCCAUGAGGUUCUUUUGAACUAAACAGUGAGGGAGAAUUUAGAAGUCUGGGGGGAAAAAUCUUUUCUUCCUUCAGAA